UGCCAGCAGCCGCGGUAAUACGUAGGGUGCAAGCGUUGUUCGGAAUCACUGGGCGUAAAGGGCGUGUAGGCGGAGAAGCAAGCUAGAGGUGAAAUCCCGGGGCUCAACCCCGGAAGGUCUUUUAGAACUGUUUUUCUUGAGGUGGUCAGAGGUUAACGGAAUUCCUGGUGUAGCGGUGAAAUGCGUAGAUAUCAGGAGGAAUACCGGUGGCGAAAGCGGUUAACUGGGGCCAACCUGACGCUGAGGCGCGAAAGCGUGGGGAGCAAACAGGAUUAGAUA
rnacentral:rRNA from 1 species